AGAUGACCGAAAGUAAGUCCAGGUCUUUUAAACCUGUUAUAGUAAACUAACGAUUACUUCUA
rnacentral:tRNA from 1 species